rnacentral:lncRNA from 1 species
CUUUGUUUUCCCAGUUUUUGGUGUAUUCCUUUCCAGCUAAGAAACAACAGGAAACUUGAGAAACUUCAUCCCUAGGCACAGGCGGGGCCCCGGGGCGGGCGGCGGCGCGCACAGCCGGCUCAGCAGCGGCGGAGGCGGACCAGCGCCCCCUGGUGGACGUCCCUGGCAAAGGUCACCUCCGUCGAUCCUGUUAAAGGCAAUGACCUUCUCAGCCUCAUCCUUCUCGGCGUGCCCCUGCUGACCAGGAAAAGGUUGCUGAUACAGGAGGCGAAGGGCUGAUGCCCUCCUGCCACACCUUAGGGACACGGCUUAUCAUGGAACUCUUCCAGGACACCAAGAAGGAGGGGAAGGACCAAAGUCCCCUUGUUACUACAGACCUGUUUCACAACCCGCUCUGGGUGCUGUAGGGCCCCCAUCCCUGAGGGUACAUCUGUGAAG